GCAUCGGUAGUUCAGUGGUAGCAUUCUCACCUUCCAUGCAGGAGCCUGGGUUCAAUUCCCAGCCAAUGCA
rnacentral:tRNA from 1 species